AAUUUGGAAUUGUAUUAAAAUUUAUCAUCCCGUCUAAUUUGCUAUAAUUGAAAUUAUUUUUGUAUUUCUCCAAAAAAUAUGAGUAUGAAAUUAUUGUGGAAUUGUGCUAGGAUAAUCUUGCUAUCGGGAUUAUCUUUUGGCAUUUAAAGUUCACUAAGCAGCUGCUGCUGUAGCCUAGCUGUGGAUAUUCUAUAAUCAGCGGAUCUCUAUGGGUAUUACAGCAGCAACUCUACCAUUUUGAACGGCGAGAUCACUACAACUAAAGUUCAUUUGUCGUCUAGCACUGACUUUACCAAAUUGUUGUUUGCAUUAAGCUUUAAAUGGUUAAAUUUUCACUAGGACCAAGAUGAUUAUCUUCAAUAACUGAUAGUGUCUUAUGAUUUGCAUAUCACUUUUAAGCUUGAUUAGUGUAACAACUUUAGUGCUUUGUCUGCCUCUCUGCGCACACAAAUUGAUGAUAAGAAGGUGCUCCUGCCCAGCCAAUCCUCUUUGUCCUGAAUGUGGAAUGUCCUAUUGAUUGAAAAUUAUUACCAUUUGACGCCUGUACCACUCUGCAAGUAAAUAUUUAAUAAUCAAAUUUGCUACCGUUCAAGAUCUAGGAAUUUGUGCCAAAAAGCUACAAGUCUAAAGCAAUUCAUAUAUAAUAUUCUUUAACACUAAUUCUAACUGCAUUAUAUUUGAAUCUUAUAUUAAUUGCCUAUUGGUAGAUCUGUAUCAACAAUGAUUUGCAUGACUUGCGCCACAGCCUUGACUGCAGCCGGCAUUAUUGCGAUGGGGCCUUUGUUAUGCGAGAAAUUCCUACACUGUAUGUCCAAAUCGAAGAAAUAAUACGUCAAAAUGUAAUUAAUUGUGUUGAAUAUGAAUAAA